GGCGGCGUGCUUAACACAUGCAAGUCGAGCGGAAAGGCCCUUCGGGGUACUCGAGCGGCGAACGGGUGAGUAACACGUGAGUAACCUGCCCCUGACUCUGGGAUAAGCCCGGGAAACUGGGUCUAAUACCGGAUACGACACGCUUUCGCAUGGGAUGCGUGUGGAAAGUCUUUUCGGUCGGGGAUGGACUCGCGGCCUAUCAGCUUGUUGGUGGGGUAACGGCCUACCAAGGCGACGACGGGUAGCCGGCCUGAGAGGGCGACCGGCCACACUGGGACUGAGACACGGCCCAGACUCCUACGGGAGGCAGCAGUGGGGAAUAUUGCGCAAUGGGCGGAAGCCUGACGCAGCGACGCCGCGUGGGGGAUGACGGCCUUCGGGUUGUAAACCUCUUUCAGCAGGGACGAAGUUGACGUGUACCUGCAGAAGAAGCGCCGGCUAACUACGUGCCAGCAGCCGCGGUAAUACGUAGGGCGCAAGCGUUGUCCGGAAUUAUUGGGCGUAAAGAGCUCGUAGGUGGCUUGUCGCGUCGGGUGUGAAAGCUUGGGGCUUAACUCCAGGUCUGCAUUCGAUACGGGCUGGCUAGAGGUAGGCAGGGGAGACCGGAAUUCCUGGUGUAGCGGUGAAAUGCGCAGAUAUCAGGAGGAACACCGGUGGCGAAGGCGGUUCUCUGGGCCUUACCUGACGCUGAGGAGCGAAAGCGUGGGGAGCGAACAGGAUUAGAUACCCUGGUAGUCCACGCCGUAAACGUUGGGCGCUAGGUGUGGGGGACCUUCCACGGUUUCCGCGCCGUAGCUAACGCAUUAAGCGCCCCGCCUGGGGAGUACGGCCGC
rnacentral:rRNA from 1 species